GGGGGGGCAAGCGUUGUUCGGAAUUACUGGGCGUAAAGGGCGCGCAGGCGGCCUGGCCAGUCCUACGUGAAAUCCCACAGCUCAACUGUGGAACUGCGUGGGAUACUGCCAGGCUUGAGUCCGGGAGAGGAGAGUGGAAUUCCCAGUGUAGCGGUGAAAUGCGUAGAUAUUGGGAGGAACACCGGUGGCGAAGGCGGCUCUCUGGACCGGCACUGACGCUGAGGCGCGAAAGCUAGGGGGAGCAAACGGGAUUAGAUACCCCGGUAGUCCUAGCCCUAAACGAUGAGCACUUUGUGUGGCGGGUAUCGACCCCCUGCCGUGCAGAAGCUAACGCAUUAAGUGCUCCGCCUGGGAGUACGGUCGCAAGGCUG
rnacentral:rRNA from 1 species